rnacentral:misc_RNA from 1 species
GGAAGUUAUGAUACAAACCUGAAGGUUAGUCUGGAAGACCAACCCAUGUUAUUUCAUUUGAUGCCAUCUGAUUUAUAUGACAGAAUUGUUUCCCAAUAUAAGAUUGCUAAAAAAAUGUGGGAUUUUUCUGGUCUUUGUGUUGGGAGACCUUGCUGAAAGCAUUAAUACCCAUGUCAAGAUCGAUAGGUGCCUUUUAAUUAUAUCAUUAGCUGAAUUGAUAUAGACGAAAAGAUGAAGUUUUCUUUGGUGAUUGUGAAUGUUAUGCAAUGGGCUGUUUAGAUAUUAGCGUACCUCAAUCCUACGUGCGAUGUGUUUAUAAAUUUUCUCCCAUUUAGACGUGAUUAUUGUAUGUUUGGUCUUCUGAAAACAUGUAUUGUAUUAACCUAAAUAUUUUGGAAGAUUGUCCAGUGAUCACUUAGAAAGUGGCAAAUUUUUGCUGCAUUGAACAAUCAUUCCUUUCUUUUCCUUACUACUUGAUGGUAAUGACCAUCAUCUGUUUGUCAGUUUUAUUAUUCUAUAUGCUUAUAGAUAAACUUUAAAAAUUAAUGCAACUUUUGCCCUUGGAAGCAUUUAAACAUUAUGUGUGUGUGUGUGUGUGUG